rnacentral:rRNA from 1 species
AUACGGAGGGUGCAAGCGUUGUCCGGAUUUAUUGGGUUUAUAGGGUGCGUAGGCGGUACGUUAAGUCAGUGGUGAAAUCCCUCAGCUCAACUGAGGAACUGCCAUUGAUACUGGCGUACCUGAGUACAGACGAGGUAGGCGGAAUUUAUGGUGUAGCGGUGAAAUGCAUAGAUACCAUAAAGAACACCGAUAGCGAAGGCAGCUUACUAGACUGUAACUGACGCUCAGGCACGAAAGCGUGGGGAGCGAACAGGAUUAGAAACCCGGGUAGUCC